CGAGUUGAUUUUCUAAGGCCUCUCUCCCUGGUUUGCAGAUGGCCAUUUUCUCCCUCUAUCUUCACACAGUCUUCCCUCUCUAGGUGUUGUAAGUGUCCUAAUCUCCUCUUAUUAUAAGGACACCAAUCGAAUCAGAUUUGGGCCUACCCUAAUGGCUUCAUUUUAACUUAUUUAUUUAAAGGUGCUAUGUCCAAAUAGUCACAUUCUGAGACAGUAGGAAUUAGAAGUUCACACAUGAAUUUUGGGAGGGACGAAAUUCAGCCUGUAACAGAAAUCAUGGUUAUAACUUUUAUUUUUCAAUAACAGUACUUUGAAAAAUGACACUGUCUCUGUUUCUUACAUUUUAAAAGGAAGACAACAUGUUUAAGACCACAGGACAUCUGCAUAGGCUGUAAAUUUCGUUAAAUGAUGGAUGCAAAGAUGGAAGACAGAUGGAUAGAGGAAAAGACAGAAUCAGAUACUGGAUGAGUUAGUACUGCUGCCUGUGCUUCAGGGCUGUCUUAUUACCACAAGGCCGGCAAGCAUCAAUGUCCCCACGUCCCCCGUGCCUCCCCCUGAAAUGUACCGAUUUAUAUGAAAAUUAAGAUUACAAAUUAAAGCCUGGCUAUCCUGGAGUUUUCCAGUUCAUCAGCCAUCCAAUAAAAAUGAUGUCAAGCCUGUAUGCAUAAUUCCCAGAAGAUUACUUUUGUCCUUACAGCUAAGCCCUGUCCCUGAUAUGAAAGAUCUCUAUCCACUUUUAUUGAAAUAAAGAACUAACAUCAUAAUCCCAA